rnacentral:rRNA from 1 species
GAGGAAUAUUGGGCAAUGCCCGCAAGGGUGACCCAGCAACGCCGCGUGGAGGAUGAAUGUCGUAAGAUUGUAAACUCCUGUUAGAGGGGAAGAAUAGUACCGGUUGGACCGGUAUAUGACUGUACCCUCAGAGAAAGCCCCGGCUAACUACGUGCCAGCAGCCGCGGUAAUACGUAGGGGGCAAGCGUUGUCCGGAUUUCCUGGGUGUAAAGGGCGCGCAGGCGGGAUAAAAAGUCAGUGGUGAAAUCCUACAGCUUAACUGUAGAACUUCCUUUGAUACUGUUAUUCUUGAGUUCGGGAGAGAGAGACGGAAUUCCAGGUGUAGUGGUGAAAUACGUAGAUAUCUGGAAGAACACCAGUUGCGAAGGCGGUCUCUUGGUCCGAUACUGACGCUGAGGCGCGAAAGCGUGGGGAGCAAACA